rnacentral:tRNA from 1 species
CCACAGGUGGCUCAGCUGGUAGAGAAUCCACUUGCAAUGGGGGAGAUCUGGGUUCGAUCCCUGGCUUGGGAA